CGGCGGACGGGUGAGUAACACGUGGGUAACCUACCUAUAAGACUGGGACAACUUCGGGAAACCGGAGCUAAUACCGGAUAAGAUAUCGAACCGCAUGGUUCGAUAGUGAAAGAUGGUUUUGCUAUCACUUAUAGAUGGACCCGCGCCGUAUUAGCUAGUUGGUGAGGUAACGGCUCACCAAGGCAACGAUACGUAGCCGACCUGAGAGGGUGAUCGGCCACACUGGAACUGAUACACGGUCCAGACUCCUACGGGAGGCAGCAGGC
rnacentral:rRNA from 1 species